rnacentral:lncRNA from 1 species
GAGAUUGUGGAGUGAUCGAUUAAAACCCCGUUUGAUUUUGAUGAGCUCAAAGCAUUUGAGUAUAUCUUGUGAUUACUAAUGAAUUCAAUUGAGUGUUUCAGUGAAAAAUCCUGUCCAAGUGUCUCUAGACUUGGUUCAUAACAUUUUGGAUAAGUUAAGAAGUCUGCAUGAACCAAUGUCUGAGAUACGAGUCGACUCCCGAGUUUCACGAGUCGACUCCAAGCGUAUCAAGGUCACUGGCAUGAGCUCGAGUCGACUCCUGAUCAGUACGAGUCGACUCCGACUGAAAACAGACAGAAGGACAGAAGAGCAGUUUUUCAGGUCUGAGAUUCGAGUCGACUCCAGUGGAAUGCGAGUCGACUCCCAGCGGUACACACAGAAAAAGCAGAGAGCGUUUUAUGGACUCUGAGAUUCGAGUCGACUCCCGCAGUACGCGAGUCGACUCCGAGACUGUGCGACCAUCGACAGACAGAAGACCAACUUUUGGAAACUGAGAGCCGAGUCGACUCCAAGGAAGUUCGAGCCGACUCCAAGACUGGAUGAGCCAAAAGACAGAGAAUCGGAAGUUCGGGCUCUGAGAUUCGAGUCGACUCCCAGGACAGUCGAGUCGACUCGAGUG